rnacentral:rRNA from 1 species
GAUGAACGCUAGCGGCAGGCCUAACACAUGCGAGUCGAGGGGUAGAAGGAGCUUGCUCCUUUGAGACCGGCGCACGGGUGCGUAACGCGUAUGCAAUCUACCUUGUACAGGGGAAUAGCCCAGAGAAAUUUGGAUUAAUGCCCCAUAGUAUAUAACCUUCGCAUGUUGGUUAUAUUAAAGUUCCAACGGUACAAGAUGAGCAUGCGUCCCAUUAGUUAGUUGGUAAGGUAACGGCUUACCAAGACGAUGAUGGGUAGGGGUCCUGAGAGGGAGAUCCCCCACACUGGUACUGAGACACGGACCAGACUCCUACGGGAGGCAGCAGUGAGGAAUAUUGGUCAAUGGUCGCAAGACUGAACCAGCCAUGCCGCGUGCAGGAAGACGGUCCUAUGGAUUGUAAACUGCUUUUAUACAGGAAGAAACCCUCCCACGUGUGGGAGCUUGACGGUACUGUAGGAAUAAGGAUCGGCUAACUCCGUG